rnacentral:rRNA from 1 species
AAACAUUUCUUUUAGAUUAAAAUUUAAAGUAAGUUCUGCUCAAUGAAUAUUAUUAAAUAGCUGCAGUAUUUUGACUGUACAAAGGUAGCAUAAUAAAUUGUUUUUUAAUUGAAAACUAGAAUGAAUGAAUUAAUGAAAUAAAAACUUUAUUUAAAUAAAAAAUUGAAUUUUAUUUUUAAGUUAAAAAGCUUAAAUUAAUUUAUAAGACGAUAAGACCCUAUAGAAUUUUAUUUAUUAUAAAAAAGUUAAUUUUAUAAUAAAUUAAUUUAAUUUAUGAUAAAUUUUUUUGGGAGGAAAAUUAAAUUUAAUGAACUUUUAUAAAUUAAUUACAAUUAUAAUUGUUAUUGAAGUUAAUGAAUUUAUUUAAUUAUAAUAAUUAAAUUAAAUUACCUUAGGGAUAACAGCGUAAUAUUUUUGGAUAGUUCAUAUUGAUAAAAAUGUU